GGAUUUUGAUGUUUCCAUUUUGUUCUCAAGAUUAGAGUUCUAUAAAAACUCCGUCCUGUUUGCCAAUCCAAUUGCUGGUUUACUAGUUGGACCACUGGUUCAAAGAAUAGACAAGAAUGUCCAAAAUUUCUAGAAGGUUACAGCAAUACUUAAAGAAAUGCUGAUAUGACAAGCAGAAUUUGCUCAAGACACUUGCUCAAGACACUUGGACAUGAGGUUCGAACCCUAGGUGCAAUCCGUGUGGGCGGCGAGAUUCCUUGCGGUGGCUGGCCGUCGGCGGCGAGAUUCCUUGCGGUGGCUGGCCGUCGGCGGCGAGAUGGAAGGAGAUCCGACGGGGGAGGAAGUGGAUCCGGCCGGCGGCUCCCUCGGGCGGGGCGUGGCAGCGUCGGCGAGCCCCCCACCCCCCCCCCCCCCCCCCGGCGGGUUGCGCAGGCAGCGCCGGCGUCGAGCUCCCCCGGCCUGGUUGCAGAGGCGGCGGCGAGCCCCUUUGGGCGGGGCGCGAAGGCUGCGGGCAAGAGCCCCGUCAGCUAGCGGGCGAAGGCUGUCGUGAACCCUCCCAGGUAGUGCGCGCAGACGGCGGCGACGAGUUCCCCGGGUGGGUUGCGCAGGCGGCGCCGGUCCCCCGGGCGUGUUGCUACGCGCAGACGGCGGCGACGAGUUCCCCCGGGUGGGUUGCGCAGGCGGCGCCGGUCCCCCGGGCGUGUUGCAGAACCGUCGGGGAGCCCCCUGGUGGCAAUUCCAAUACUAUACUACGGGCAGGAACUAAUUAAUGGUAAUUUUGCGACGGCUUUUCUGCCGCCGCCGCCAAUUUAUUACACCGGACCUCCGCGGAAUCUUUCACCUCCUUGGAGACCAGAUGACAAGGAUGGGCACUAUGUUUCCGUGGUUGGAGAGAAUCUGAUACUAAGAUGUAUAUUUUCAUUAUUUCCAUAGCUCAAUGAUGUUUAAUUUACUUUCCUUGCACUAGGUUGCUUGUUUCUGGCUUGCAUCUGAGCCUCUCUGACCUAUAGCUUGUUGAGAUGGAUUUUCUUUCAGAUGUUAUCUGUUACUGUAAGUUGCCAUGUUGGUGGUGCAGUUUUCAUUUCUGUAUUCUGUUCUGUAGUGAUCUGGUUCUUAGUUGGAAUGUUUAGUUUCCACUUGAAUGUACAGGAUGAACAAGCUCUUUUUUGCUCUUGUUCCCAGUGCUUUCAUUGUUUUCAUGCUAUAUUUAUCGUUUCAUUUUGUGUCA